rnacentral:lncRNA from 1 species
CAAAAGUCACAGACUGCUCAUGACAGUUGUCACCAGUGAGAGAGGAGGAGUUUAAAGGAAAUUGGUCUGUUCUGCCUUUUCCCUCCUUGUAUGCAUGAUUUAAGGUUAGAUUUCUGUCCCCAUUGUGCAUCCUGGAUGACAGACUCUUUCAGUGGUAUGCUUUGAGCUUCCGGAACAUUUUAUAAAAAGAUUGCCUUCUCUGUCUGCCUACAGUUGUAGGAUCUUUAACCACGUCAAGCCCAGGCAAUGUGAAUCAGCUGAGUCUUGUUUGAGACGAGGAGUAGGAUGUUUAGUUGGAGGUCUUGAGGCAGAACCCUCCCCCUUAUAAUGAUCUUGGUCCAGAGAACUCUAAAGCAGUAGGAGGGUGAGGGGAAAUAUGGAGUCUCAGCCUCUCCUCACCUUUAUUUCUAUCAUAAAUUUUAAAUGUAAGAUUGGAAGAUACAGAAAGCUUUUUAAGACCGUGUCAAUAGGGUAUAAUUAACCCAGGUAAUUUGGAAAUAAAAUUUGGCUGUAUUUGCUGUAUCCAGACGCCCUAACUUAUCAUCUUGUUCUCCAGCAAAGAACAUGCUGCUCUAACCUUGUCCUCUUACUUGGGACAAACUUUCCACCUGCCAGAAACUACCAUUUGAGGCAAGUGAGUUUUCUGCACGAAGGGCUUUUGCAGCUCCCGCUCCUCCCCCAAGGCAAGUCUACCUAUUUUGUCCAUUUUUAUUCUUAGGAACAUUAGUUCUGCGUCUCUGAAGCCUUUGAUCCUUAGGAAAGUCAGUAAGAACCUCUCAGCUGAGUCUGAGUGAAUCUUUGGAGCCCACGAAAGCUACACUUAAUUUUCAGCAGAGAAAAAUUUGUUGGACAAGCUCACAUGUGGAAUGUUAAGAGAAAUUCCAUAAUGCACUUCUUCCAUCUCUGCCUCGUGUGUUUUUUGAGUAAACCCUUCGUAGAAUUUGGUUCACAGGUGUUGAGUCUCAGGCUUCCUCAGCCAGCGUGGUUUGUUUUAGGAAAAAGAACCAUGAGCACCCAAAACUGUAUCAAUUGGCCCUUUCUAUUUUCUGUGUUUUUCAGUGUCUUGUUUUAAAGAAUUGAGGUGGGGAAAUGGUAGAUGAGAU